UAGUUCAGCUGGGUAGAACAUGGGUCUCCAAAACCCGAUGUCGUAGGUUCAAAUCUAUCCUAC
rnacentral:tRNA from 1 species